CCAACUUUGUUGGCGUGUUUAUUUCGAUAACUGGGAAACGAUAACGAUAAAACUGGACGCAUUAUCGGCUCGCAAAUACUCGACUGCAGGGAAAACUUGGGACAGUUAACGUCGUUAUUCGCCGUCAAGAUGAACCGCUCCUUCACGCUAUUAGUGACUUUGAUGGCUGUCACAUUCUUUUUUGCAUCAGUGGUACAUGCUAGGCAGUGUCAGGAGCAGAGUGACUGUGACACUGAGAGGGACUGCCCUGCAGGUGCAAACGUUGAAGCUGAGUGUCAGACGAUGGUCGGUAAAACCAAGUAUUGCAUGUGCAUCGUUCGUGAAGGAGCUACACACGCCGAAGAAUCUUCAGAUUCUGAAACACCUGCGGCGUAAUGUGCAUUCCAGAAUAGACGUAUCACCGUUAUUACCGCACUAUUAACAAUACAAAUAAUAAAUUCGAAAAUGAA